CAGGUGAGGGUGCAGGAUCCCUGAAAGCCGAGCUGUCCCAGUGGAACAGGCUCUUCAACAUGAACAGACAUCGAUGGACUUCACACAAGCCUCAUGCCCCGGGAAGCUUGAUGGAGCUGGAAAGCGAAGAGGAGCCUCUUUUGAAUGCGGCUGCUAAGAGACCUGCAACACGGGUUCUCCCCCUCCUGCCUGCAAAACCCUCUGGUGUGGUCCCGGUCGAGAGGUUUUCUGAAGACAGAGCAGGAGAAACCAUUGGCUGCUUUGGGAGAAGCUGGGCACAGCUGGGAGCGAGCGGAGCAGGAACCCCUGGA